rnacentral:rRNA from 1 species
GACGAACGCUGGCGGCGUGCUUAACACAUGCAAGUCGAACGGAAAGGCCCUGCUUUUGUGGGGUGCUCGAGUGGCGAACGGGUGAGUAACACGUGAGUAACCUGCCCUUGACUUUGGGAUAACUUCAGGAAACUGGGGCUAAUACCGGAUAAGAGCUCCUGCUGCAUGGUGGGGGUUGGAAAGUUUCGGCGGCUGGGGAUGGACUCGCGGCUUAUCAGCUUGUUGGUGGGGUAGUGGCUUACCAAGGCUUUGACGGGUAGCCGGCCUGAGAGGGUGACCGGCCACAUUGGGACUGAGAUACGGCCCAGACUCCUACGGGAGGCAGCAGUGGGGAAUAUUGCACAAUGGGCGGAAGCCUGAUGCAGCAACGCCGCGUGCGGGAUGACGGCCUUCGGGUUGUAAACCGCUUUCGCCUGUGACGAAGCGUGAGUGACGGUAAUGGGUAAAGAAGCACCGGCUAACUACGUG